AUAAACUGUGAACAGAAAUGUAAUGAAAACUGUGGUGUGCCUAAUACAUGCAACAGAGCAACAGGAGAAUGUGAGGGCGGAUGUCAACCAGGUUGGGAGGGACUUCAAUGCAAACAGGUUUGUAAAGAAAAUAAGUACUGUGAAAACUGUCAUCAUUCAUGUGGAUUCUGCCAGGACCUCGUUUGCCAUCACGUAAAUGGAUCUUGUUCAGGAAGAUGUGCCGAAGGAUAUCAAGGAAAAUUAUGCAAUGAAGUUUGUAAGGCAGGAUUUUAUGGAGAAAAUUGCAAAAAAGAAUGCAGCCUUUUCUGCAAAUCAUCACGUGACUGCCACCACGUGACUGGGCAUUGUAACGAAGGUUGUGUUGGUGGAUGGCAGGGUGCUAAGUGUUUGCAAGUUGCAGAGAAAACGGAUGAUGUUGAUUGUCUGUCAAUAUUUUAUGGUGUUCUUGCCGCUCUCUGUGUUUGCCUGACAAUAAUCGUGGUUUUAAUUGCCUAUAUAUGUAUAAAUAG